ensembl:lncRNA
UAUGGAUGAAUAUGAUAGUACGUAUAAUACAGAUUUUUUUCUACCCCAAAUAUAAGCCUCAAAAGAGAGAAAUGAGAGAGUUCAGAGAAUUAAAAUUUAUUGAUCGCUUAAUAUGUAUGAGUACCAUACUAGGUGGUUUAGAUACCUAGUUUCACAUUUAUAAUAAUCCUAUAAGGAUCAAAAAGAAUAACUGUUGGGUACUAGCCUUAGUACCUGGGUAAUGAAAUAAUAUGUACAACAAACCCCUGUGAGACAAGUUUACCUAUAACAAAUAUGCACAUAUAUUCCUCAACCUAAAAUGAAAGUUUAAAAAAAGUCUUAUGACCUAAGUGAUUGUAUUAUUUUACAGAUGAUAAAAAUUAAGUUUCAGGGAGGUUAAAUAGCUGCCUUAGAUCCCAAGGAUAAAUUACAAGGCUGGGUCUUGAACAUAGCUCAUGCUUUUUUUCCUAUAUCAGAAAUGUUGAAGUAACAUAAAAUGAUCAGCCAUUUAUAACAUUUUUCUGAUUGGAAAAUGACAGUCAUGAGGUUUAUGCCUGUCUUGGUAAUCUUGCUCCUUCAACACAAAAGUCAGGUUGUAGCUAAGAAAACCUACAUGAAAAAAGAGAUUUGUGUCCCUGACAAAAAUAAAUUGCAAAGAAAAUACACUUUCACCAGAGUAUUAAGAGGUAGUAAGGCUGUCCUACCAAAGGCUGAGAGAAAAAUUCUUUUCUGUGUGUGGGGUGGGGGACCUAGGGUGAUGUACUUCCCCAAGUUCUUGAUUUACUUAUCCAUAAGUGCCAGUUAACAAUGGCUAAGUCACUGAACACAUGGAGAGAGUUCAUUUGCAGAGUUGCCUUGCUUGGAACCUGGUGUGCAAUAGGCACUUAGUAAAUGUAAGUUUCUGUUCCAUAAAUGCAAUUCUCCUUUAUUUAUUUUUUUAUAGAAGGAGAGACAGAAAGAAAGAAACAAAAAUCAAGGAGAGGAAGACCGAGGAAGAAAAAGAGGGAGAAGAGGAAUGUUGUUUUAUUCUAAAAAUGGGUGACUCUGCCUUCCUGGAGCUCCAAACAUCGGUCAGAAAGGAAACCAGUCCAGUUUAUUCUGCAUCAAGAGCAGCCGUGCUGAGGUACCUGCAAAACUGCCACACCGGCCACAAGAGUUGCACUGGUGACCCAUGGGGCUCCUCCGCUGGGAAUCUUCUGGCCCAUGAGUGGCAAAAAUUCUUCUGAAAGUGUGGCAUCCUCUCGUUCUCUGCACGUUCACUGGGAGCUACAAUCCUGAGAUGUUAGCAAUCAGCCAUCAUGGAUCUUUCUCGAUAUAGUAUGAACAUUCUAUAACAAGCAUUUUUAAUAUUAGCUUCUUUUAUAAUGGAAAAAAUGUUCUGCAUUAACAUUGUUUCUAAAAAUAAUAUGUGAUACAGGCUCAGAAGAGGUCUAACACAGGCACUGCCUAAAAAAAAGCAACCAUGAUUUAUUCUGUUACAGGAUUUAUAAUUAAAAUAUUAUAUUUACAUUUAUGCUGAUAAUCUUUUAAAUUUCUAAAAUUCAGAUCAGACAAGAACCCAAGGUACUAACCAAGAGAAAAAAAUCACGAUUGGCUUCAGAUGUGAAAGCCUGUUUUGUAUGUCUGAAAAAAAUUUCUCAAAACAUGUAUUAUCCAGCCAAAAAACAGGAAUCCAAGUUUUGACUUCGAGAAUAGGCUAAGAAAACCAGAGAGAACUUACAGGCAUUUGAGAGAAUAACCUUGACUUUCUCUGCUGCCUUUCCUUUUGAAUGUUAGCUAAUUUCCAAGUAGCAUUGAACCACCAUGCCAAAAUGAAGUAACGUCUUAGAGAUCUUCAGAGUAUCACAGGCAUAGAAGCAAAAAGAAACCUUGGAAAUGUGGAGGCACCAUUCUUCUCCAUUGUCCCCUUAAAGGUAUUCAUUUACCUGUCUUGAACCUGCGCAUGGUGAAAGGCAUGUGUGAAAGAGUUAGUUAGCUGUUUGCAUUAGUUAGUUAAUUAAUUAUCUCUUUGCAUAUUUAUACCCAUAUUUCUAAAUAAGUCAUUUUAAAAAUGUUGAUUUUCUAUUAUGAUUAAAAAAUUUAACUGAAAAAUCGAGAGAGAAGGAAAGAGAAAGAAGAAAGAGAAAAAAUGAGGGAAAUAAAAAGAGAAGGAAAGAUGGAGGGAAUGAAGGAGAAAAGAAAAAGACAUGAAGGAAGAGACAAAAGGAAGGAAGGAAGGAAUGAGGGAAGAAAGAAAAGAAAGAAGAAAGGAGGAGCAAGAAAUAGAGAAGGGAGGGACAGAAAGAAGGAGGGAGGGAGGGAAAGAAAGGAAGGCAAAGGAAGAGAGAAAAGAACCAAGCAGCAGGUAGGAUGCUAAGAAGUAAUGAAGAAUUUGGAGUAAAUUGGAGUCUAUAACCUCCCUAGGAGGAGGGGCACAGAUAAACACCCCACGGUUUUAGUUGAAGCUCUUGAAAUAUACUAUGCAUUAAAAUAUAUCCAAAGGAUUAUAAAUUGUUCUAUUAUAAACAUACAUGCACACUUAUGUUCAUUGUGUCACUGUUGAUAGUAGCAAAGACCUGGAACCAACCCAAAUGCACAUCAGUGAUAGACUGGACAAGGAAAAUGUGUCACAUAUACACCAUGGAAUACUAUGCAGCCAUAAAAAUGAUGAGAUCCUGUCCUUUUUAGGGACUUGGAUGAAUCAGAAAACCAUCAUUCUUAGCAAACCGACACAAGAACAGAAAAUCAAACACCACAUGUUCUCAACUUAUAGGCAGGUGUUUAACAAUGAGAACACAUGGACACAAGGACACAAGGAGGGGAGCAUCAAACACUGGGGUCUGUUGAGGGGGACUAGGGGAGAGACAGUGGGGGUAGGGAGCUUGAGGAGGGAUACCUUGGGUAGAAAUGCCAAAUAGAGGUGACGGGGGAAUGGAGGCAGCAAACCGUAUUGCCAUGUAUGUACCUAUGCAACAAUCUUGCAUGUUCUGCACAUGUACUCCAGAACCUAAAGUGCAAUAAAACAU